rnacentral:lncRNA from 1 species
UAUAUAUAUCAAGAAAAGGCAUACAUAAACAAAUAGCAAAACCUGGUGACGAAGGGGUUGUCCUGUCUUUUAAGAAAGUGAGUUUUGUCCAUCUAUUAUAGAUGACGGGUUUUAAGCUUUUUGGUGUUGAGAUUAAUUUGGGUGAGAAAGAAGAAUCAUCAUCAUCAAUCAGAAAAAGGAAUAAUCUAGAAAGAGCAAAAGAUGAAUAUUGUAUGAGGAAGAGCAAAAGUAUGGGGAAUCUCCAGGCCUGCAAUUCACAACACAA